AACGAACGCUGGCGGCAGGCUUAACACAUGCAAGUCGAACGGACCCUUCGGGGUUAGUGGCAGACGGGUGAGUAACGCGUGGGAACCUACCUAUAAGUACGGAACAACACAGAGAAAUUUGUGCUAAUACCGUAUGUGCUCUUUUGAGUAAAGAUUUAUCGCUUAUAGAUGGGCCCGCGUUAGAUUAGCUAGUUGGUGAGGUAACGGCUCACCAAGGCGACGAUCUAUAGCUGGUCUGAGAGGAUGAUCAGCCACACUGGGACUGAGACACGGCCCAGACUCCUACGGGAGGCAGCAGUGGGGAAUCUUAGACAAUGGGGGCAACCCUGAUCUAGCCAUGCCGCGUGAGUGACGAAGGCCCUAGGGUCGUAAAGCUCUUUCGCCAGGGAUGAUAAUGACAGUACCUGGUAAAGAAACCCCGG
rnacentral:rRNA from 1 species